rnacentral:rRNA from 1 species
CCUACGGGAGGCAGCAGUAGGGAAUCUUCCACAAUGGGCGAAAGCCUGAUGGAGCAACGCCGCGUGGGUGAAGAAGUUCUUCGGAUCGUAAAACCCUGUUGUUAGAGAAGAAAGUGCGUGAGAGUAACUGUUCACGUUUCGACGGUAUCUAACCAGCAAGCCACGGCUAACUACGUGCCAGCAGCCGCGGUAAUACGUAGGUGGCAAGCGUGAUCCGGAUUUAUUGGGCGUAAAGGGAACGCAGGCGGUCUUUUAAGUCUGAGGUGAAAGCCUUCGGCUUAACCGGAGUAGUGCAUUGGAAACUGGGAGACUGGAGUGCAGAAGAGGAGAGUGGAACUCCAAGUGUAGCGGUGAAAUGCGUAGAUAUAUGGAAGAACACCAGUGGCGAAAGCGGCUCUCUGGUCUGUAACUGACGCUGAGGUUCGAAAGCGUGGGUAGCAAACAGGAUUAGAUACCCUUGUAGUC